rnacentral:rRNA from 1 species
GAUGAACGCUGGCGGCGUGCCUAAUACAUGCAAGUAGAGCGAACAGACGAGGAGCUUGCUCCUCUGACGUUAGCGGCGGACGGGUGAGUAACGCGUGGAUACCCUCCCUAUACGAUUGGGAAAACUUCGGGACACCGGCGAUAAUACCGGAUAAUAUGUUGAACCGCGUGGUUCAAUAGUGAAAUACGGUUUUGUUGCCACUUGUAGAUCGUUCCGCGCCGCAUUAGCUAGUUGGUAAGGUAACGGCCUACCAAGGCAACGCUUCGUAGCCGACCUGAGAGGGUGAUCGGCCACACUGGAACUGAGACACGGUCCAGACUCCUACGGGAGGCAGCAGUAGGGAAUCUUCCGCAAUGGGCGAAAGCCUGACGGAGCAACGCGGCGGGAGUGAGGAAGGUCUUCGGAUCGUAAGACCCUGUUAUUAGGGAAGAACAAAUGUGUAAGUAACUAUGCACGUCGUGACGGUACCUUAUCAGAAAGCCACGGCUAACUACGUG